rnacentral:rRNA from 1 species
UACGUAGGUGGCAAGCGUUGUCCGGAUUUACUGGGCGUAAAGAGCGCGCAGGCGGUCGUUCAAGUCGCGUGUGAAAGCCCCCGGCUCAACUGGGGAGGGUCACGCGAUACUGAUCGACUCGAAGGCAGGAGAGGGAAGUGGAAUUCCCGGUGUAGUGGUGAAAUGCGUAGAUAUCGGGAGGAACAUCAGUGGCGAAAGCGACUUCCUGGACCAAUACUGACACUCAAGUGCGAAAGCGUGGGGAGCAAACAGG